GAAGCGAAAGAGAAUUGGACGACUUGAAGGGAGGCGGGGAAGGGGAGGCCGGGGUAGGAGUUGGUUUGCUCUUGUCGGGGCUGCCCCAGACCUCUGUGUUCCAGGAUUGCAGCAGAGUUAAGUACAUACUUCUUUGUCGGGUGCGCCCUCUCUUCUAGGGCAUUCCUUUCGCGCUCUAUUGGCUUUACAGGAAGUGGGAGCUGCGCCUCGGCUCAGUUCGCCGGGACACGCCUUCCCGUCCUCCCAGCCCCCAGCCGGCCCCAAACCCAACUCCAUUCCCAGGUUGGGGGGUUCCCGCUGUGUGAGGGCUGGGCCUCGGGGUUUGGACCGGCAGGGGUUUGGACCGGCAGGGGUGACUUGCGUUCGGGAGUCGCAGCGGAAAGCGAGAAAGGCAGUGGGUGGAAAAGGGAAAGGAUGCAUUUGACAAAUCAUUCAUCUCUUCAGACCAAGUCCCCGCAACAGGAAAACAUAGUUCAUCAAGAAUUGGGAGACUUCAUUCAUUCCUCUUUAUUGCCAAGACUUUUCUGACUUACAACUUAAGGAGCUUAGGAAAAAACAAGCAAAUAAACAAAAAACUACGUCUUUACUUGGACUGAAGUUCCUGAAUGCAGCCUUAACUAUCAUGGCUGUAGGUCAUGCCUGUCCAACCACAAGCCACAUUGUCCAGCCUCCUUUGCUGCGGAGUGUUUCAUGUGACUGAGCUCUUGAUACUGGAAUGCAUCAGAAGCUAUUUGUGCCCUUCUGGACUAUGCUUUCAAGGGACUAGACAUUGUGCGCCUUUCCUCCUUCUCAUGGGCCAGGAUGAUGACAAGCAGAGUGACCUUAGAAGCCACACGUUUAGGAUGGCAGAAACUCUGUUCUGCCAAGUCCCUGAAUGACCUGUAGUUCAUGGAGCUGAACCCUUCCAAGCUGGAACACCCCUCUGAACCAUGUCGUUAGAGAGAAAUAAAGCUUCUAUUAUGUUUGAAUGAUUAUAUUUUAAGAAAAAGAAAAUGAGAGGAAGAGUCCGCAUCUGAAGAGAGAUGACUGAAGUUCUUCUAAUGGCGAUUACUAUGUGAAGAUGUCACAGGGCAUCAUGACAUCCACAGGAAAAAGAAAUUUCUGUCUCUGCUGGAACUGAACUGGAUGUAAAUCUCACUGAAGCCCUCAGUAGGGGCAGAGCAUGAAGAUGCUGGUCGGAGGUACCCACCAAGGUGUUGAGUGUGGAAAAGCUGCUGCUCCCUGGAAGUAAAAAGCUGGUAGCAGAAACAAUGAAGCAAUGAACAUUGACCUGUAUAGCUGCUUCUUUGGACACAUGUGCAAAUGUUUUUUCUGAUAAAUUCUUAGAGGACGACUUGCUGAGUUAAAGAUACAUGCAGGUGCGAGGGACAUUCCUGGGGAAGAGCCUUUCUUGGCCAUUUACCACAGUGUUUCCUUACUUAAACACCAAAUGGACUUACUAAACUGUACUAGGGCAGAUGGCACAGCAAGACUUAGUCUGUUCCAGUCCAAAGAGAUAAUUUAUGUAAAUUACAUGACCAUAGACAUUAUAUGAUAUCCUCUAACAUCCCUUUGACAUACCAUGGCAAUCUUCCUCCACUGCAUAGCAGUAUGGGAAGUGUCCUUCUAAGUCCUUUCCCAUACAUUUACUUCCUGUCUUAAGGAUCUUUGCAUGCCUGCUACUUUGUAAUACCUCUGCUAAUGAAUAGAGGAAGCUGCCUUCAGUACUCCAAAUGAGGAAAGAAAUGCUGUUACUGGAUUCCAUUCCUGUCUAUCAUCUUGUUCAAAAGGAGGGGAGUGAGUCAGAUCAAGAGAAUGAGUCACCAAGUCAUAGCCAAGGUGAUAAACCUCAAGACUUGCAUCUAUCUGCUCCAUGGUCAAAGAGGAAAACCUUACCAUCUGAGUGGUGAGAAACCAGAGUGUGUGCUAUCUGAACAUGUAAUGUUAUUUUGAGAAAAAAAUAAAGUGACUUUCCUAAAAAAC